rnacentral:siRNA from 1 species
UCAAGAAAAGGCCUUACAAGGU